rnacentral:rRNA from 1 species
GUGCCAGCAGCCGCGGUAAUACGAAGGGGGCUAGCGUUGUUCGGAAUCACUGGGCGUAAAGCGCACGUAGGCGGAUUGUUAAGUCGGGGGUGAAAUCCUGAGGCUCAACCUCAGAACUGCCUUCGAUACUGGCAAUCUCGAGUCCGGAAGAGGUUGGUGGAACAGCUAGUGUAGAGGUGAAAUUCGUAGAUAUUAGCUAGAACACCAGUGGCGAAGGCGGCCAACUGGUCCGGUACUGACGCUGAGGUGCGAAAGCGUGGGGAGCAAACAGGAUUAGAAACCCCCGUAGUCC